ACGAACGCUGGCGGCGUGCUUAACACAUGCAAGUCGAACGGGUCUGCCCUGUUUUUUGCGGGGUGGGUCAGUGGCGAACGGGUGAGUAACACGUGAGUAACCUGCCCCUCACUUCUGGAUAACCGCUUGAAAGGGUGGCUAAUACGGGGUGUUCUGGCUGUGCCGCAUGGUGUGGCUGGGAAAGAUUCACUUUUGUGGUGUUUUGGUGGGGGAUGGGCUCGCGGCCUAUCAGCUUGUUGGUGGGGUGAUGGCCUGCCAAGGCUUUGACGGGUAGCCGGCCUGGGAGGGUGGGCGGUCACACUGGGACGGAGAUACGGCCCAGACUCCUGCGGGAGGCAGCAGUGGGGGGUAUUGCACAAUGGGCGGAAGCCUGAUGCAGCGACGUCGCGGGAGGGAUGGAGGCCUUCGGGUUGUGAACCUCUUUCGCCGGUGAAGAAGGUCCUGCUCUUUGUGGUGGGGUUGACGGUAGCCGGGUUAUGAAGCGCCGGCUAACUACGUG
rnacentral:rRNA from 1 species